UCUCAUCUGAUGAGAUGAGCCCAGUGAUAACAGCCCAGCAGGGAGUGGAGAUUCGGGUCCAGGGGUAGAGAUGUAGGAAUGAAGGUACAUUCCCAGCAUGGAGAAUGAAGACAGAACUGAAGUGAGAACUCCGAUGCCCAUCUCUAAAGGGUGAAUCAAAAGGGAUCAACAAGCAAAAGAGAAAAAGGGACAACAGAUUUAGACGUGAUAGGAAAAACAGCAGAGCUCAUUCAAGUCCUCAGAAGGGUCUCUCCCUUCUCCUUUGAAGCCUUUCUCACAUACCAAAGCCGUCUUCCAUCUGGCUCUGAAGAGAAGAGAUGUGGCUAACAACGAGAUUUUUGCAGCAAGGGCAGCAACAACACUGUCAUAAUCAUAAAUGAAAGUGGACUUUCUGACAUUAAUCUGAGGCCCCUACCUGGCUUCCACCAGCCCCUGAGGUAGGAACACAUGAAAUUCUAUUUCCAACAACGCAAGAUUUUUGAAGAAACUGGCAGGUGACUUGGUUUGCAGUAACCUCAGGACAGAACACUAACUUUGGGGAAUUAUAGCUGCAGUUUCAUUUCAGCUCAAAAUCAGAUUCCAUGAUAAAUUUGCUAAAAUUUGACUCUCCCAAACUGUAUUUGCUUCCAGCCUGGGUUAGUUAGCCCACUGAAGGGUCAAUGGCCACCAAAAUAGAAAAGUAAAUAAAUAAAAUAGAUCUGACAAUAAAGGUAAAAUCAAAGCUCUAAACUAAUAUAGUACAAGGGUUCGGUGGUUGCGGGGAAGAGCUAGUAGGUCUUGAGCCCAUACCCAGAGGUGAAAUGCAAAUGUUCUUCCAGAGACUGGUGCCCUCCCAGGCAAGGUGAUGGAGCUGAGGGGAGAGGGCUGCGUUUAAUGAACUCGAAGCAGGAGGGCUUCUACCCAGGAAAGGCUGAGGACAGUAGUUCUCAAACUUGAGAGGACAUCAGGAUGACCUGGAGGGCUUACUACAACAAAGAUCAAUGAGCCGACCCCUCCAGUAUUUCCAAUUCAGGAAGUCUGAGGUCAAACCUGAGAAUUUGCUUGUUAGUAGGCUCCAAUGUAAUGCUGAUGAUGCUGAUCUGGAGACCACACUCGGUUAACCACUGAUUUUAAAGGCAAGGAGCUAUGGGUUUAGAUGGAUUGGUGAGUCUCACAAUCAUCUUAAGAAUGGAGGCGGUAUCUUGAGUCGUGGCAUGAACUAGUACAGUCCAGAGUUAGUUUGUUCUGCCAGUUCUUCCAGGAAGGUUUGGGCUGGGGUUUGUAAAAGGCAUUGCCUCAGGGGGUACACACUGAAGAGGAAGAGAGGGUACACCAGCAGAUCCCCUACAAUGCCACCAGCAGUAGAGAACCCAAUGGCAUGGUCAGAGAACUUGAUGAUUAUUAAUUUUCAUCAAAUGCAUGUAAGCAUCCCCUCAUGGGAAUAGAACUAUUGUUUAUUCAUGGUUUUUAUUUUCAAAAUACCUGGCUCACAGUACAUUUUUCAUUGAUUUGAUUAGUAUUAGAAUAAGCUAGUUCUGAUAAAAUGUCAACUAAUUCCUGUUUCUUUAUCAUCUCCCUGCAAAAGAUUAUACCAAUUCAUAUCAUCCAAGGGACUUUUCUUUUUUGUAAAAAUUAUAGAUAAAAUCUUGAAAGACUAAGGUAGAUAGAUAAGAUGGCAGGAGCCCCCUUUCCCAAGAAACCAAGAAUUAAGCAACAAAUCUUUAACAUUUUUAAAAUUUACAUGCACACAUGAUCACACAAAACAUAAAACAAGGCAAAAUUCACUAUAUAAGUAACAGAAAAGACCUCAUAGAGAGCGUGGGUAGCACAAUAUUUUGGUGUUAGAUGAUUCACACGAUGCACUUAAGAGGUUGAAAUGGGAAAAUAUUAAACCAGCAGGUCAGCCUUUCCAUACUUGCUGCCAAUGUUUACUUCAGUUCCGGUAACACAGUAGGCUUGGGUAUUUUUCUUUUCAGUAGGUUGAAGAAUAUGAAUAACAUAUGUGGCAUGUGUUGAUGCUUGUUGAUCCAGAGCUCAGAAAUGUUAACCUAAAGACAGAAAGCCUUGGAGGAGACUGGAUGCUGGACAGCCUUGGAUUCUGAUUCAUUUGAGACUCGGCAUAGAGAUGAGGCCAUGAUCUCCCCCACCCUUUAAACUGCAGAGGAUAAAAAAGGGAUGUAAUAUAAUACUACACCUCAGGGUAUCAGAGUACAGGAAAUAAAAGUGUUUCACUUGGACAAAGGUGAAACUUAUGAACAUAUUAAUGGAAUAAAACAUUUUGUGAGAGCUGUAGGCAGUUGUGAUUGCUCAAGUGCCUUUUCCACAUCAUGGAACUGGGAUUGAGGAGAAGGGUUCAGCCCCCAAGGAGAAGAUCAGAACUGCUUCUGGAAGCAGCAUGAGAGCUUUCACUCUCCUUGAGAAACGAAUAUUAGAGGAGGAAACGGCGGCCCUGGAAAGAGCUUACUGUCCAAGAGGCAGAGGAUGCUGGCGGACACAGAGCUACGAAAGGAUACUCAUGAUGUGGUUUCCACUGGAGUAUAGACAGGUCUACUUUGUUCUGAAGUAUGAAGGCAUCAUCAUGCUUUUCAUCAUACUAAUGGGCAUAAUUUUUUUCUACUGAGCAUCUUUGAAAAUGCCUCCUUGUGCACACAUGUCGGUGUGUGCUGAAGUAAAUCAUGUGUAAUGGAUAGGAAUUCUUUGAAUUUUAGCAAAUGUCAAAUUGUCCUAAGUGACUACACCAGUUAAUGCCAGCAGUUCAUAAGCAUUUCCUCUUCUCAUGAGAAGACUCUUGUUCAUAUCAACCAUUACAAACUUUUGCAGCCAGAAAUAAACUUCUCCUUCCUUUCCCUUUCUGAAACCAUCCUGAGAAAGGAAAAUAUUCUCAAUACAGACAAAGUGUUCUGCCUAAAAGAUGAAAUCUGUCUUGAGACACGUAUUUAACAACUGUAGAAAUCCAAAAGAAUUAGCAUCCAAUCUGGAAGUCGUGAGUGAAGCUGCGGAUUGACUUGACUGGGCUCAGCCACUGAGCUGCCUCAACUGGCCAAGGAACAGGAUAUAACUAUGCGGACUUCUAUGUUGUCUUAAUCUCAUUGUAUGUAUUACGUAUUUAGUUUCAAUAAAGCAUUUGUACCAAUGGCUCUGGAGCUUGAAGGAAGACUAAAGGAAUGUGUAGUGAUUCUGAGUAUGAUGUAGACCUAUGCAGCAGAGCUAUGGGGGAGAUUAACAAAGUCCUUUCUUCCAGUACCAGGAUGGUCAUGAGUGGCAGUCCCAUCCAAACAGGUCACUAGGACCAGAAGGCUGGACCCUGCCCUCUCUGUCUGACCAUGACAGCUUCUUGCUCCUUCCAAGGGAGGCAAGGAGCUUUCAACUGGGAGUUUUCAGUGAAUGAGCACCAUGACACAGUCAUUGCUGAUCCCUCCAUCUAGCUGUUGUGAAAAGAUAAAGCAAAGGAGGCAAGGAAAUGCUUAAUCUAGCAGACAAGAGAAUGGACAGUGUGAUCCUUGUUUGUGCUAGUCACAGGGUGGUGCACCACAUUUCAGCUCCAUGAUGCUACUUGCUUUCCUUCAUUUCCUCUGUUUCCAUUUAUUCCCUUCAUUUAUGGUCUAGAAUCAAACAAUUCUAAACCUCAGUGUCUUAUGAAGCUGACACUUCAAAACCUGCAAAAGCAGGAUGCCUUUGAGGUAUUUAGUCCCACCAAGUACAACUAGAGCUGUCAUAGACAGUGUAGGUGUGCAGAGAUCCACCUCCUUGCUCACUGGCAAUUAGGGAGUUAAUGCUCUAAAAUUGAAGCAAGGAGCCUGGACUGUUGCCAUUUUAUGGAAGCCACGUAAGUUGGGCAGGACUCCACAGGAGCUGCCCAAGACCUGAUGAUGGCAAGAGAUUUCUAUGUCUGAGUCAUGAAAUCUGUCUACUAUGAAAGAUGCUAUGCUCUGCCUGAGAAAUAAUUCAGGUGUGAGUUCUAGUCUCUCAGGACAUUACAAAGGAGAGAAAAUGAUGUAAAGAAAGAAUGUCAGAGUAGGAAUCCACUUUUGCCUCAAACUAGCUAGGAGACUAGGCAAGUCAUGGAAGGCCUCAGUUUCUCUGCCUGU